rnacentral:rRNA from 1 species
UACGGGGGGGGCAAGCGUUGUUCGGAAUUACUGGGCGUAAAGGGCUCGUAGGCGGCCAACUAAGUCAGACGUGAAAUCCCUCGGCUUAACCGGGGAAUUGCGUCUGAUACUGGAUGGCUUGAGUUUGGGAGAGGGAUGCGGAAUUCCAGGUGUAGCGGUGAAAUGCGUAGAUAUCUGGAGGAACACCGGUGGCGAAGGCGGCAUCCUGGACCAACACUGACGCUGAGGAGCGAAAGCCAGGGGAGCAAACGGG